UUUCCAUUUUUCUUUUAUAUAUAUAUAUAUAUAUAUUUAUAAAUAUAUAUAUGUGUUGUAUAUGUAUAUUUUCAUCUCUUCACCUUAUGUCAUUACAUGACAGCAACAUCAGCUGAUUGAUUCAUGAGGAACUUCCCUUAUCCAACCACAGGUUCUUUUCUUUUUUUGUCUUUUCACAGUAUGUUGAGGAGUUUAAAUGCAUGACAGUAGUUGCCAAGUGGAGGCUCCAAAGUUUUAAUCGCAAACCGUAAAUAAUGAAAUAACAGGGUAUGUAUGGGCAAGGGUGAUGGAAGCAGCGGAAUCCAAAGUCAAAUUUUCUGGAUGGUCCCAUUGGGAUUUGUCUUUCUAAUGUUCUCAUAUUCAGAUUAGGAUACUUUUUUUUUUUACGCACAUGUGAGCACAAUAAUUCAUUGCAAAGGCCAAAGGUGUGUAGUAUAAAGGUACAUGCAUACGGUUGUCCAAAGGCAGUAGAAUAAAGAAGCCAACAACAACAAA